UAGGGAAACCUAAUCCAUUUAAAAAUCAUUUGCAAACACCAAAUAAAUUCUAAUUUGGUCUAUCCUAGGUCGGUCGCAGGUAUUGAUUGAUUCUUUCAAACUAUGAUUGGUUCGCUGAGGGGCUAUUACCUCAGGUGGUUAAAGCGCACCCCUGAUAAGGGUGAGGUCCCUGGUUCGAGUCCAGGAUGGCCCACCUGAAAGUAAUUAUUAAUUGCUAAUUCGUAAUUCGUAUUUAUUUAAUUACGGAUUAAAAAUUAUGAAUUACAAAUUAUUGGAUGGGGGUUUAGCUCAGUUGGUAAAGCGCCUGCUUUGCAAGCAGGAUGUCACCGGUUCAAGUCCGCUAACCUCCACAUUGGAAAAAAAAUCACCAACUGACAAGGAGUCAAACUGCUGGGUUCAACCAGCCAGAACCUUGAAAACUGCAUAGUAACGCGAAAAAAAGCAGGCAAACAAAACUGAGUACUGAGUGAUAAGUACCGAGUGAUGAGUGAAAGACUCAAAGCGGAGUAUAAAAGAGUUCAAAACAGCAGAAAAGUUUGCAAGUGGAAACCAAAGAGAAAGU
rnacentral:misc_RNA from 1 species